CAGCAGCCACGGUAAUACGUAGGGUGCAAGCGUUGUCCGGAAUCAUUGGGCGUAAAGCGCGCGUAGGUGGCCAUUUAAGUCCGCUGUGAAAGUCAAAGGCUCAACCUUUGAAAGCCGGUGGAUACUGGAUGGCUAGAGUACGGAAGAGGCGAGUGGAAUUCCUGGUGUAGCGGUGGAAUGCGCAGAUAUCAGGAGGAACACCAAUAGCGAAGGCAGCUCGCUGGGACGUUACUGACACUAAGGCGCGAAAGCGUGGGGAGCAAACAGGAUUAGAUACCCCGGUAGUCCCUGUCUCUUAUAC
rnacentral:rRNA from 1 species